UCCUUAAAGGGCAGAGGGCAAUGCAC
rnacentral:piRNA from 1 species